UACAGAGGUCUCGAGCGUUAGGCGGAAUCACUGGGCUUAAAGCGUGUGUAGGUGGAUCGUUAAGUACCUUGUGAAAUCCCACGGCUUAACCGUGGAACUGCUUGGUAUACUGGCGAUCUUGAGCCAGCUAGGGGCUACCGGAACAAAUGGUGGAGCGGUGAAAUGCGUAGAUAUCAGGAGGAACACCUGUGGUGUAGACAGCUUACUGGACCACUUCUGACGCUGAGACACGAAAGCGUGGGUAGCAAACAGG
rnacentral:rRNA from 1 species